rnacentral:rRNA from 1 species
CCUACGGGAGGCAGCAGUGGGGAAUAUUGGGCAAUGGAGGAAACUCUGACCCAGCGACGCCGCGUGCGGGAUGAAGGCCUUCGGGUUGUAAACCGCUUUCAGCAGGGAAGAAGCGAAAGUGACGGUACCUGCAGAAGAAGCACCGGCUAACUAUGUGCCAGCAGCCGCGGUAAUACAUAGGGUGCAAGCGUUGUCCGGAAUUAUUGGGCGUAAAGAGCUCGUAGGUGGUUCGUCACGUCGGAUGUGAAAAUCUGGGGCUUAACCCCAGACCUGCAUUCGAUACGGGCGAGCUUGAGUAUGGUAGGGGAGUCUGGAAUUCCUGGUGUAGCGGUGGAAUGCGCAGAUAUCAGGAGGAACACCAAUGGCGAAGGCAGGACUCUGGGCCAUUACUGACACUGAGGAGCGAAAGCGUGGGGAGCGAACAGGAUUAGAUACCCUGGUAGUCCACGCCGUAAACGGUGGGCACUAGUUGUGGGGACCUUCCACGGGUCUCUGCGACGCNGCUACGCAUAAGUCGCCCCGCCGUCGGGAGGUACGAGUCGCAAGAAUUAAAACUUAAAACUUAGUAAGUUAGACGGCGUGAGACGUGCCGAACGGACGACGACGAGGGAGGUAGG